rnacentral:rRNA from 1 species
CCUACGGGAGGCAGCAGUGAGGAAUAUUGGUCAAUGGUCGGGAGACUGAACCAGCCAAGCCGCGUGAGGGAGGAAGGUACAGAGUAUCGUAAACCUCUUUUGUCAGGGAACAAAGGCGGGGACGUGUCCCCGGAUGAGUGUACCUGAAGAAAAAGCAUCGGCUAACUCCGUGCCAGCAGCCGCGGUAAUACGGAGGAUGCGAGCGUUAUCCGGAUUUAUUGGGUUUAAAGGGUGCGCAGGCGGUCUGUUAAGUCAGCGGUCAAAGCCCGGGGCUCAACCCCGGCCCGCCGUUGAAACUGGCAGUCGCGAGUUGGAGAGAAGUAUGCGGAAUGCGCGGUGUAGCGGUGAAAUGCAUAGAUAGCGCGCAGAACUCCGAUUGCGAAGGCAGCAUGCCGGCUCCACACUGACGCUGAGGCACGAAAGCGUGGGUAUCGAACAGGAUUAGAUACCCGUGUAGUC